rnacentral:rRNA from 1 species
UAGGGAAUCUUCCACAAUGGGCAAAAGACCUGAUGGAGCAACGCCGCGUGUGUGAUGAAGGCUUUCGGGUCGUAAAGCACUGUUGUAUGGGAAGAACAGCUAGAAUAGGAAAUGAUUUUAGUUUGACGGUACCAUACCAGAAAGGGACGGCUAAAUACGUGCCAG